rnacentral:rRNA from 1 species
UCAACCCUGUGACAUACCUAUAACGUUGCCUCGGCGGGAACAGACGGCCCCGUAACACGGGCCGCCCCCGCCAGAGGACCCCCUAACUCUGUUUCUAUAAUGUUUCUUCUGAGUAAACAAGCAAAUAAAUUAAAACUUUCAACAACGGAUCUCUUGGCUCUGGCAUCGAUGAAGAACGCAGCGAAAUGCGAUAAGUAAUGUGAAUUGCAGAAUUCAGUGAAUCAUCGAAUCUUUGAACGCACAUUGCGCCCGCCAGUAUUCUGGCGGGCAUGCCUGUUCGAGCGUCAUUACAACCCUCAGGCCACCGGGCCUGGCGUUGGGGAUCGGCGGAAGCCCCCUGCGGGCACAACGCCGUCCCCCAAAUACAGUGGCGGUCCCGCCGCAGCUUCCAUUGCGUAGUAGCUAACACCUCGCAACUGGAGAGCGGCGCGGCCACGCCGUAAAACACCCAACUUCUGAAUGUUGACCUCGAAUCAGGUACGAAUACCCGCUGAACU